rnacentral:rRNA from 1 species
AAAUUGAAGAGUUUGAUCAUGGCUCAGAUUGAACGCUGGCGGCAGGCCUAACACAUGCAAGUCGAACGGUAACAGGAAACAGCUUGCUGUUUCGCUGACGAGUGGCGGACGGGUGAGUAAUGUCUGGGGAACUGCCUGAUGGAGGGGGAUAACUACUGGAAACGGUAGCUAAUACCGCAUAAUGUCGCAAGACCAAAGAGGGGGACCUUAGGGCCUCUUGCCAUCGGAUGUGCCCAGAUGGGAUUAGCUAGUAGGUGGGGUAACGGCUCACCUAGGCGACGAUCCCUAGCUGGUCUGAGAGGAUGACCAGCCACACUGGAACUGAGACAC